rnacentral:hammerhead_ribozyme from 1 species
AUCCAGUUGAAGAGUCCCAAAAAUAGGACGAAACUCAAGUCCUAGAU